GAUGAACGCUGGCGGCGUGCUUAACACAUGCAAGUCGAACGGAAAGGCUCCUGCUUGCAGGGGUACUCGAGUGGCGAACGGGUGAGUAACACGUGGGUGAUCUGCCCUGCACUUCGGGAUAAGCCUGGGAAACUGGGUCUAAUACCGGAUAGGACGAUGGUUUGGAUGCCAUUGUGGAAAGUUUUUCGGUGUGGGAUGAGCUCGCGGCCUAUCAGCUUGUUGGUGGGGUAAUGGCCUACCAAGGCGUCGACGGGUAGCCGGCCUGAGAGGGUGUACGGCCACAUUGGGACUGAGAUACGGCCCAGACUCCUACGGGAGGCAGCAGUGGGGAAUAUUGCACAAUGGGCGCAAGCCUGAUGCAGCGACGCCGCGUGGGGGAUGACGGCCUUCGGGUUGUAAACUCCAUUCGCUAGGGACGAAGCGCAAGUGACGGUACCUGGAGAAGAAGCACCGGCUAACUACGUG
rnacentral:rRNA from 1 species